GUCGAGCGACGAAACCGGUCUUCGUAAGAAGACUGGCUGAAAGCGGCGAACGGGUGAGUAACACGUGGGUAACGUGCCCUUGACUCCGGGACAACAACGGGAAACCGUUGCUAAUACCGGAUAACCCUGUAGCACCGCAUGGUGUAACAGGCAAAGUUUUUCGGUCAAGGAUCGGCCCGCGGCCUAUCGGCUUGUUGGUGGGGUAACGGCCUACCAAGGCAUUGACGGGUAGCUGGCGUGAGAGCGCGGUCAGCCACACUGGGACUGAGACACGGCCCAGACUCCUACGGGAGGCAGCAGUAGGGAAUCUUGCGCAAUGGGCGAAAGCCUGACGCAGCGACGCCGCGUGAGGGAUGAAUGCCUUCGGGUUGUAAACCUCUUUCAGCAGGGACGAAGCCUCACGGUGACGGUACCUGCAGAAGAAGCCCCGGCUAACUACGUGCCAGCAGCCGCGGUAAUACGUAGGGGGCUAGCGUUAUCCGGAUUUAUUGGGCGUAAAGAGCUCGUAGGCGGCCGAUCGCGUCGGAUGUGAAAGCUCGGGGCUCAACCCUGAGAGGCCAUUCGAUACGGAUCGGCUAGAGGUAGGUAGGGGAAAGUGGAAUUCCUGAUGUAGCGGUGAAAUGCGCAGAUAUCAGGAGGAACACCGGGUGGCGAAAGCGGCUUUCUGGGCCUUACCUGACGCUGAGAGCGAAAGCUGGGGGAGCAAACAGGAUUAGAUACCCUGUAGUCCCAGCCGUAAACGUUGGGUGCUAGUGUUGGGGAGGU
rnacentral:rRNA from 1 species